CCUACGGGUGGCAGCAGUGAGGAAUAUUGGGCAAUGGAGGCAACCCUGACCCAGCGACGCCGCGUGAGUGAUGAAGGUCUUCGGAUCGUAAAGCUCUUUCGGAGGGGACGAGGAGUACGGUAGCAACUCAAGAAGGCCUGGCUAAUUUCGUGCCAGCAGCCGCGGGAAUACUACGGGGGAAAGCGUUGUUCGGAAUUACUGGGCGUAAAGGGAGUGUAGGCGGUUUAGUAAGAUAGGGGUGAAAUCCCAGUGCUUAACGUUGGAAUUUCCAUUAAAACUGUUAGACUGGAGUUUGUGAGAGGAUAGUGGAAUUCCCAGUGUAGAGGUGAAAUUCGUAGAUAUUGGGUAGAACACCAGUGGCGAAGGCGACUAUCUGGCUGUACAUUGACGCUGAGGCGCGAAAGCGUGGGGAUCAAACAGGAUUAGAUACCCGAGUAGUC
rnacentral:rRNA from 1 species